GCCUCGGCUUCCUGAGGAUUAGGGUUAUGCCUGGCUAGACGCUGGCUUAUUCUUGCACCUGUCUGAGCAUCCUCAUCUGCCUUGUGCCUUCAGUCUCAGAAGACUCUUUAGUGUGGAUCUCUUCUAGAGGGGCCUAAACUGUUCAGCUUCCUCUUUGGUGAGUGUGGGGAGGUCCCAGAAGUUCCCAUAUGCAGCAUCUGCCAUGCCCAAGGAAGACUAGGUAGGUGAGAGAUUGACAGACAAGCUCUCAGGGGGGAAAGAGCCAUUUUUGGAUGGACAACUUUUGGCUAGAGAGAGCAGGGGGCAGGCAAUCUAAGGAGGAAAGUGCCUCUUCCAUGUAGACGUAGACCUCUUAGCUGGGCUUUUCCCAAAAGAAUGGUAAGUUAGCGAAUCCUCUUGAAUUUUGUGGAGUUUGGGGAAUUUUGUGCAAGAAAUCCAGACGUGAAGAAAAAUUGCCUUGUGGCAGAUCCUGACAGCAGAAAGUAGGAAGGCUGUGUGUAAAGAAAUUACUGUAUAUGAUACCAAGAGAGUCUACAUUGGAGAUCUCUAUAGGGUCCCUCACGUCAUAGAUUGGGGAGCAGGGAAGAAAAGACUGUAGGAGUCAGAGGGAAUGGAGGACAUCAGGAGCACCUCUCAGCCCACCGACUUGGCUCAGCAGGAAUCACAGGGGCUCAGUGGAGCAGCAAACACUGGGCCUACGUGAGUGGGCACCAGGUCCUCUGCAUAUGCAUUAUAGGAGUCAGCUUCGUGGUUUUGUGGGACUCCUAGCAGUGGAAACAGUUGUAUCUCUCACAUUUUGGGCACUUUUCCCCUCCUAUUGGGUUACCUUGUCCAGCCUCAACAGGAGGAUUCUCGCCUUGUCUUGUAUCUUGUUUUGCUGUGUUUGGUUGUUGUCUCUUUCAAGUCUGCUCUUUUCUGAAGCAAAAAUGGAGAGGGAGCGGAUCUGGGGGGAAAGGGAUGUGGAAGUGGAGCUCAGAGGAGUGGAGGGAGAGAAGUUCUGGUCAGGAUGUAUUGUAUGAGAAGAAUCUAUUUCCAAUAAAAAGAAAAUGGCUUUAGAGUGCAAUCUAUCGCGUCUCGGCCUUUUUUUUUUUACCUUAGAUCGAGUGUAGAAUGAAGUCCGGGUGGACUCCAGCUUGGGCUUAGUGCUAACAUUCCAAUGAUGAAUGUCUGACUUUACCCCCUCUCUGCAAGGACUACUUCUUCUGGAGUCCCAAGAAGUUGCUACUUUUCCCCAAGUCUCCCCAAAUGAUCAGCUUCUCCACUACAGAGUGUUAUAAAGACAUCUUUUCUGCAGUGGGUUUCUUUCUUUUCCUCUAUUUUCAUUAGUGACCACUUCCCUCAGGAAGGAAAAUCUUAGGGAUACAUUGUAUUCUGCACAGUAAGUCACCAAUAAUUUUAAGGUAUGCCAUCAAAUAAUAGCUUUUAGCCUGAGGACUCACCACAUAUUAUUUUCAAUGUCCCAUUAAUGCUCCUAUGUCACAAAACACUGAUUUUCCAACAGACUACCCAGAGCAUACAGGGUGCCAGGUAUUCAGAAGACAAUUCAAGUUUGAGCUUAGAUAUUUACAAAUACUAUGUAGAGACUAAUGCUGACCAGUCACAUAAUUGAGUCUAAGUCAGCCAUUUUCUACCCAUCAUGCAUUAGUCCCAGAAUAACUAAUAUAGUCAAUAAUAAAAAUAAAACUGCCUUUUCAUCAGGACAUACAAGAAGCACGGAACAAGGGCAGCUAAUUUCCUAGAAAGCUUGUAAUAAGACCCCCUGGUGUUACACAAGAUGGGAGCAUGUGCUUGAAGCACAUAAAGGCUCAUUUCAAUAAUGAAUGUGUGUUGACUCAGCACCCACUAACUUGAGACCUCGAGAAGAAUAAACAAUACAAUGCCACCCAUUUGAUAGCAGUGCAUUUUCCUAGAAGUAUGUUUUAUUUAUUUUUCAACAAGAACUGGUUGAGCCAUCACUAUGUGUCCAGGCACUGUGCCAGACACUAGGGACCAGGAAAGUAUGAUUUCUGCCUACUACUCAGUAAGAUGGGGCUAUCCUUUGGCCCUUGGAUCUCUCCCAAAAGGCCCAUGAAAGGGAGACAGCUCCCAUCCCAUUAAACUAUUGACAGGUGGUAGAUUGAACUAGAGAAAGUCAACUCACUGCGGGCAUGCUAGCCCUCCAUCUCUCCUUGAUUUCCAGAUGCCAUGAAGCAAGCAGUUUAUUCCAGUAUCCACUUCUGCCAUGUUGUACUGACUCCCCUUGGGCCUAAAUGAGCUCAGCAGGCACCUCUGAAAUGAUGAGUCAAAACCAGCCCUUUUUCUUUAGUCUGUUGGUUGAUCUCAGGUAUUUAUCACAGUGAUAUAAAGCCAGCAUGGAUAUCUUGGCAGGAGGGAGGUAACCAAAUAAUCACAUAGAAGUAUUCCACAAAUGUGUUGAAUGUUGCAGUGGGGGUGGGAGGUAGGGGCAUAGAACUGUGAGCCUAUAAACAUAUCACACCUAGCUUCCCUGUUGGUAAGAAGAAAUGUGUCAUGAGAGUUCUGAAGGUGUUGACUAAAACUUGAGAUAGAAGGAUAGAAGGAACUGAAAGCUUUAUAGAACCUUGGCCAUGGCCAGUGCUCCUGUAAAACAAGACACCAUGAUGUAAAUAAUUGACCAGUGUAAAGAGAAUGAAUGAGUAUAGAAACAUGAAUAGUCUGUAAUAAGGAACAUUCGGUUAUUUCCUCUCCUGGAUGUGGAAAUAAAAGGAGCUCACAGUGUCCAGCAAUUCUGUCCUUUGUAAGAAUUCAUUUCUUUAUUCAUUCACUUAUCUAGCUAAAAACCAGGAG
rnacentral:lncRNA from 1 species